GACGUAGGGCGCGAGCGUUGUCCGGAUUUAUUGGGCGUAAAGAGCUCGUAGGCGGUGUGUCACGUCGUUCGUGAAAACCUGCAGCUUAACUGUGGGCGUGCGGUCGAUACGGGCAUCACUGGAGUUCGGCAGGGGAGACUGGAAUUCCUGGUGUAGCGGUGGAAUGCGCAGAUAUCAGGAAGAACACCCGUGGCGAAGGCGGCUCUCUGGGACGGUACUGACGCUGAGACGCGAAAGCGUGGGGAGCGAACAGG
rnacentral:rRNA from 1 species